GAUGAACGCUGGCGGCGUGCCUAACACAUGCAAGUUGAGCGAUUUACUUCGGUAAAGAGCGGCGGACGGGUGAGUAACGCGUGGGUAACCUACCCUGUACACACGGAUAACAUACCGAAAGGUAUGCUAAUACGGGAUAACAUAUUUGAGAGGCAUCUCUUGAAUAUCAAAGGUGAGCCAGUACAGGAUGGACCCGCGUCUGAUUAGCUAGUUGGUAAGGUAACGGCUUACCAAGGCGACGAUCAGUAGCCGACCUGAGAGGGUGAUCGGCCACAUUGGAACUGAGACACGGUCCAAACUCCUACGGGAGGCAGCAGUGGGGAAUAUUGCACAAUGGGCGAAAGCCUGAUGCAGCAACGCCGCGUGAGUGAUGAAGGCCUUCGGGUCGUAAAACUCU
rnacentral:rRNA from 1 species